rnacentral:rRNA from 1 species
GGGGAAUAUUGCGCAAUGGGGGAAACCCUGACGCAGCAACGCCGCGUGGAGGAAGAAGGUCUUCGGAUUGUAAACUCCUGUCUUCUGGGACGAAGAAUGACGGUACCAGAGGAGGAAGCCACGGCUAACUACGUGCCAGCAGCCGCGGUAAUACGUAGGUGGCGAGCGUUGUCCGGAAUUACUGGGCGUAAAGGGCGCGUAGGCGGUUUUUUAAGUCAGAUGUGAAAACCCAGGGCUUAACUCUGGGAUUGCAUUUGAAACUGGAAGGCUUGAGUGCAGGAGAGGUAAGUGGAAUUCCUAGUGUAGCGGUGAAAUGCGUAGAUAUUAGGAGGAACACCAGUGGCGAAGGCGACUUACUGGACUGUAACUGACGCUGAGGCGCGAAAGCGUGGGGAGCAAAC